rnacentral:rRNA from 1 species
CCUACGGGUGGCAGCAGUGAGGAAUAUUGGUCAAUGGGCGCGAGCCUGAACCAGCCAAGCAGCGUGAAGGAUGACUGCCCUACGGGUUGUAAACUUCUUUUAUAAAGGAAUAAAGUGAGGCACGCGUGCCUUGUUGUAUGUACUUUAUGAAUAAGGAUCGGCUAACUCCGUGCCAGCAGCCGCGGUAAUACGGAGGAUCCGAGCGUUAUCCGGAUUUAUUGGGUUUAAAGGGUGCGUAGGUGGUUUGUUAAGUCAGUUGUUAAAGUUUGCGGCUCAACCGUAGAAUUGCAAUUGAUACUGGCAGCCUUGAGUACAGUUGAGGUAGGCGGAAUUCGUGGUGUAGCGGUGAAAUGCUUAGAUAUCACGAAGAACUCCGAUUGCGAAGGCAGCUUACUAAACUGCCACUGACAUUGAUGAUCGAAAGUGUGGGUAUCAAACAGGAUUAGAUACCCUUGUAGUC